GACAUAGGUGGCAAGCGUUGUCCGGAUUUAUUGGGCGUAAAGAGCGUGUAGGCGGCCAGACAGGUCAGCUGUGAAAACUCGAGGCUCAACCUCGAGACGUCGGUUGAAACCGUCUGGCUAGAGUCCGGAAGAGGAGAGUGGAAUUCCUGGUGUAGCGGUGAAAUGCGCAGAUAUCAGGAAGAACACCUAUGGCGAAGGCAGCUCUCUGGGACGGUACUGACGCUGAGACGCGAAAGCGUGGGGAGCGAACAGG
rnacentral:rRNA from 1 species